rnacentral:lncRNA from 1 species
CAACAACAGGCUGGCGGCAAAAAUUUCUACGGCAGUUUCUCUUGAACCAGGCAGAAAACAACCCCUGAGGCUGCUCGGUGCUCCCUAGUCUCCUGGUUUGCAUUGCACAUCCAUUUUGAGCCUGCUGCUACUGAUGAGAAAAUGACCUCAAACAACUGCCCACUAAAGGUCCCAUGUUGUGACGAUGCCGGGGGCUUUCUGCAUAGCGCUCCGCUUCUCAGACUGAGCAGCUUCUGGAGUUUUGUACAAUGCCUGGGCCUGAGGAAACCUGCCAGGAUAUUCCUGCCCCAGGAAGAGAGCCCUGUGUAUUCUGUUGGACAGAUCUGCUGAUUUUCAAGUUUCCAAGACUCCUCCAGACUUAAGAAGUACUGUUUUAUAUUAAAUAUUUUGCAAAGAUGGUUCCAGCUUCCUACCCUUCCAGUUAAAAUAAACAAAAACGAGGGUCUUGAGUGUCUAUGAUUUUCAUAAGAUCUAUGGCGUUUCUUCUGCAGAUGAUCAACAGUUGCCUGCCUUGGACUUUGGAGUUCCCAAGAACUAGGUAGGUAAUGGAAUUAGGUCACACUGACAUCCAGUGAUGGAAUUUGCCCAGUGACAUUAAUGCAUCGAUUGCUUCCUAUAUAUUUCAGUGUCAUAAACAAAGUUUCUCUUUCCUUUUCAAGAAGAAAAGAGCAUGGUGGAAACAGAGAAGUGUGUCUUUUGUUUGGUCAGCAAGGCAGGAAAGGCCUUGUGUGCUCUGUCCGUCAACACUGAUAAGCUGUGACAUCGGGAGGCUGGGAGGAUCCCCAGCUGUUCCACCUACACUGGGUCCCAGGGCGCGUGAUCCUGCUCAGGAAGCAAGGGGAGCUCAAACAGGGAAAGAUGAGCACCAUGAACACAAAUAGUCUACUCGGAGUUUCUUAAAUUAUUUGAGUAUCCAUAUAUUUGACUUCAAG